rnacentral:rRNA from 1 species
UACAGAGGGGGCAAGCGUUAUUCGGAAUUAUUGGGCGUAAAGGGCGCGUAGGCGGCCAUUCAAGUGACGGGUGAAAGCCCUCGGCUUAACCGAGGAACUGCCUGUCAGACUGGAUGGCUUGAGACCGGGAGAGGUGAGUGGAAUUCCCAGUGUAGCGGUGAAAUGCGCAGAUAUCAGGAAGAACACCCGUGGCUAAGGCGGUUCUCUAGUACGGUACUGACGCUGAGACGCGAAAGCGUGGGGAGCGAACAGG